AGUGAACGCUAGCGGUAGGCCUAACACAUGCAAGUCGAACGGCAGCACAGUAAGAGCUUGCUCUUACGGGUGGCGAGUGGCGGACGGGUGAGGAAUACAUCGGAAUCUACUUUUUCGUGGGGGAUAACGUAGGGAAACUUACGCUAAUACCGCAUACGACCUACGGGUGAAAGCAGGGGAUCUUCGGACCUUGCGCGAUUGAAUGAGCCGAUGUCGGGUUAGCUAGUUGGCGGGGUAAAGGCCCACCAAGGCGACGAUCCGUAGCUGGUCUGAGAGGAUGAUCAGCCACACUGGAACUGAGACACGGUCCAGACUCCUACGGGAGGCAGCAGUGGGGAAUAUUGGACAAUGGGCGCAAGCCUGAUCCAGCCAUACCGCGUGGGUGAAGAAGGCCUUCGGGUUGUAAAGCCCUUUUGUUGGGAAAGAAAAGCAGCAGGUUAAUACCCCGCUGUUCUGACGGUACCCAAAGAAUAAGCACCGGCUAACUUCGUG
rnacentral:rRNA from 1 species